GACGAACGCUGGCGGCGUGCUUAACACAUGCAAGUCGAACGAUGAAAUUCUGACGGAGACUUCGGUCAACUGAAGGAUGGAUUAGUGGCGGACGGGUGAGUAACGCGUGAGUAACCUGCCUCUCAGAGUGGAAUAACAUUUGGAAACGAAUGGUAAUACCGCAUAACGUCAUGGAACCGCAUGAUUCUAUGACCAAAGGAGCAAUCCGCUGAGAGAUGGACUCGCGUCCGAUUAGCUAGUUGGAGAGGUAACGGCUCCCAAGGCGACGAUCGGUAGCCGGACUGAGAGGUUGAACGGCCACAUUGGGACUGAGACACGGCCCAGACUCCUACGGGAGCAGCAGUGGGGAAUAUUGCACAAUGGGGGAAACCCUGAUGCAGCAACGCCGCGUGAAGGAAGACGGUCUUCGGAUUGUAAACUUUGUUCUUAGUGAAGAAACAUGACGGUAGCUAAGGAGAAAGCCAGGCUAACUACGUGCCAGCAG
rnacentral:rRNA from 1 species